GAUGAAGAACGUAGCAAAAUGCGAUAAGUAAUGUGAAUUGCAGAAUUCAGUGAAUCAUCGAAUCUUUGAACGCACAUUGCGCCCGCCAGUAUUCUGGCGGGCAUGCCUGUUCGAGCGUCAUUUCAACCCUCAAGCACAGCUUGGUGUUGGGACUCGCGUUAAUUCGCGUUCCUCAAAUUGAUUGGCGGUCACGUCGAGCUUCCAUAGCGUAGUAGUAAAACCCUCGUUACUGGUAAUCGUCGCGGCCACGCCGUUAAACCCCAACUUCUGAAUGUUGACCUCGGAUUAGGUAGGAAUACCCGCUGAACUUAAGCAUAUCAAUAAGCGGAGGA
rnacentral:misc_RNA from 1 species